rnacentral:rRNA from 1 species
UACAGAGACUGCAAGCGUUAUUCGGAAUUACUGGGCUUAAAGAGUUCGUAGGCGGCGCAGAAAGUAGGGUGUGAAAGCCCUCGGCUUAACCGAGGAAUUGCGCUCUAAACUACUGUGCUUGAGGAACCUAGAGGUGAGCAGAACUGAUGGUGGAGCGGUGAAAUGCGUUGAUAUCAUCAGGAAUACCGGAGGCGAAGGCGGCUCACUGGGGGUUUUCUGACGCUGAGGAACGAAAGCCAGGGGAGCGAACGGG